rnacentral:rRNA from 1 species
CAGAGGGUGCAAGCGUUGUUCGGAAUUAUUGGGCGUAAAGGGAGUGUAGGCGGUUAGUUAAGUCUUCUGUGAAAGCUGCGGGCUUAGCCUGCAAAGUGCAGAGGAAACUGGCUGACUUGAGUGUCGGAGAGGAUAGGGGAAUACCCAGUGUAGAGGUGAAAUUCGUAGAGAUUGGGUGGAACACCAGUGGCGAAGGCGCCUGUCUGGCUGACAACUGACGCUGAGACUCGAAAGCAUGGGGGAGCAAACAGGAUUAGAUACCCUGGUAGUCCAUGCCGUAAACGAUGAUAGCUAGAUGUGUGUGGUAUUGACCCCAUACGUGUCGAAGCAAACGCGAUAAGCUAUCCGCCUGGGGAGUACGGUCGCAAGAUUA